rnacentral:lncRNA from 1 species
UUAUCUUCCUCAGAAAACACAAACCCCAAAUCCAUAAACCCUUUCAGCUCCUCAAACUCAAGGUCUGAUAAACUCUUACUGCUCUUCUUCUUCUUCUUAUUCAUCUUCUUCUUCCUUUUUGGCUUCACAGCUAUCUCCAUCUCUUCGUGUUGCUCAUUAUUAACUCUUUCACUUGCAAACUCAGUAACUUCUUUGCCAGAUGCAAUUGUUUGAAGCUUUGGUGUUAGCAGAGAAUGAUCAGAAGAGAAGCUUGUGGUACAACUUUUGCAGCUCGCCAAAGCAUAGUCGCUUAAAGACCGGACAUGGAGAAUUGGUAAGCUUGAAACCUUUGG